rnacentral:rRNA from 1 species
UACGUAGGGUGCGAGCGUUAAUCGGAAUUACUGGGCGUAAAGCGUGCGCAGGCGGCGCGUUAAGACAGGUGUGAAAGCCCCGAGCUUAACUUGGGAAUUGCGCUUGUGACUGGCGUGCUGGAGUGUGGCAGAGGGAGGUGGAAUUCCACGUGUAGCAGUGAAAUGCGUAGAGAUGUGGAGGAACACCGAUGGCGAAGGCAGCUCGCUGGGACGGUACUGACGCUGAGACGCGAAAGCGUGGGGAGCAAACAGG